AACGAACGCUGGCGGCAGGCCUAACACAUGCAAGUCGAACGCUCCGCAAGGGGAGUGGCAGACGGGUGAGUAACGCGUGGGAACCUUCCCAAAGGUGCGGAAUAGCUCAGGGAAACUUGGGGUAAUACCGCAUAAUGCCGAGAGGCCAAAGAUUUAUCGCCUUGGGAUGGGCCUGCGUCGGAUUAGCUAGUUGGGGGGGUAACGGCUCACCAAGGCGACGAUCCGUAGCUGGUUUGAGAGAAUGGCCAGCCACACUGGGACUGAGACACGGCCCAGACUCCUACGGGAGGCAGCAGUGGGGAAUCUUGGACAAUGGGCGCAAGCCUGAUCCAGCCAUGCCGCGUGAGUGACGAAGGCCUUAGGGUUGUAAAGCUCUUUUGCCGGGGACGAUAAUGACGGUACCCGGAGAAUAAGUCCCGGCUAACUUCGUGCCAGCAGCCGCCGUAA
rnacentral:rRNA from 1 species